rnacentral:rRNA from 1 species
UACGUAGGUGGCAAGCGUUGUCCGGAAUCAUUGGGCGUAAAGAGCGCGUAGGCGGCCCAGUAAGUCCGCUCUGAAAGUCAGGGGCUCAACCCCUGAAUGCGGGUGGAUACUGCUGGGCUAGAGUCCGGAAGAGGCGAGUGGAACUCCUGGUGUAGCGGUGGAAUGCGCAGAUAUCAGGAGGAACACCAAUUGCGAAGGCAGCUCGCUGGACCGUUACUGACGCUGAGACGCGAAAGCGUGGGGAGCAAACAGG